rnacentral:rRNA from 1 species
UACCGAGGGUGCAAGCGCUAUUCGGAAUCACUGGGCGUAAAGGGCGCGUAGGCGGUUUGGAAAGUCAGAUGUGAAAUCCCUGAACUCAAUUUUGGAAGUGCCUUUGAUACUGCUAGACUAGAGUAUUGGAGUGGUGGGCGGAAUUCCUGGUGUAGAAGUGAAAUUCGUAGAUAUGAGGAGGAACAACGGAGGCGAAGGCGGUUCACUGGUCAAUUACUGACGCUGAAGCGCGAAAGCGUGGGGAGCAAACAGG